rnacentral:rRNA from 1 species
UACAGGGGGGGCAAGCGUUGUUCGGAAUUACUGGGCGUAAAGGGGUCGUAGGCGGCCAACUAAGUCCGACGUGAAAUCCCAAGGCUUAACCUUGGAACUGCGUCGGAUACUGGAUGGCUUGAAUUCGGGAGAGGGAUGCAGAAUUCCAGGUGUAGCGGUGAAAUGCGUAGAUAUCUGGAGGAAUACCGGUGGCGAAGGCGGCAUCCUGGACCGACAUUGACGCUGAAUGCCGAAAGCUAGGGGAGCAAACGGG